rnacentral:rRNA from 1 species
ACACUCCUACGGGAGGCAGCAGUGGGGAAUUUUGGACAAUGGGCGAAAGCCUGAUCCAGCAAUGCCGCGUGAGUGAAGAAGGCCUUCGGGUUGUAAAGCUCUUUUGUCAGGGAAGAAACGGUGAAAGCUAAUAUCUUUUGCUAAUGACGGUACCUGAAGAAUAAGCACCGGCUAACUACGUGCCAGCAGCCGCGGUAAUACGUAGGGUGCAAGCGUUAAUCGGAAUUACUGGGCGUAAAGCGUGCGCAGGCGGUUUUGUAAGUCUGAUGUGAAAUCCCCGGGCUAAACCUGGGAAUUGCAUUGGAGACUGCAAGGCUAGAAUCUGGCAGAGGGGGGUAGAAUUCCACGUGUAGCAGUGAAAUGCGUAGAUAUGUGGAGGAACACCGAUGGCGAAGGCAGCCCCCUGGGUCAAGAUUGACGCUCAUGCACGAAAGCGUGGGGAGCAAACAGGAUUAGAUACCCUAGUAGUCCCA